rnacentral:rRNA from 1 species
UGCCAGCAGCCGCGGUAAUACGGGGGGAGCAAGCGUUGUCCGGAAUUACUGGGCGUAAAGCGUACGUAGGUGGCAAGGUCAGUCAGGCGUGAAAGCCCUCGGCUCAACCGAGGAAUUGCGUUUGAUACUGCUUUGCUAGAGUCUCGGAGAGGUUGGCGGAAUUCCAGGUGUAGGAGUGAAAUCCGUAGAUAUCUGGAGGAACACCAGUGGCGAAGGCGGCCAACUGGACGAGUACUGACACUGAGGUACGAAAGCGUGGGUAGCAAACAGGAUUAGAUA